CGUGGGUAACCUGCCUCAUACAGGGGGAUAGCAGCUGGAAACGGCUGAUAAAACCGCAUAAGCGCACAGCAUCGCAUGAUGCAGUGUGAAAAACUCCAGUGGUAUGAGAUGGACCCGCGUCUGAUUAGCUGGUUGGUGAGGUAACGGCCCACCAAGGCGACGAUCAGUAGCCGGCCUGAGAGGGUGACCGGCCACAUUGGGACUGAGACACGGCCCAA
rnacentral:rRNA from 1 species